rnacentral:rRNA from 1 species
AGCUGUGGGUCGGAGUGAAAGGCUAUUCAAACCCCGUGAUAGCUGGUUCUCCUCGAAAUGCAUUUAGGUGCAGCGUUGCGUGUUGAUGAGUGGGGGUAGAGCACUGACAGGGCUAGGGGGCAUACCCGCCUACCAACCCCUAUCAAACUCCGAAUACCAUUCAAUGGAGCGCAGCAGUGAGACGGCGGGGGAUAAGCUUCGUCGUCGAGAGGGAAACAGCCCAGACCGGCAGCUAAGGUGCCUAAAUAGUGCUCAGUGGAAAGGAGGUGAGGUUUCAUAGACAGUGAGGAUGUUGGCUUAGAAGCAGCCACCAUUUAAAAAAUGCGUAAUAGCUUACUCAUCGAGAGACCUUGCGCCGAAAAUACUUGGCGAUAAGCACUAUACCGAAGCUCCGGGUGUCAUUAUUCUACGGAAUAAUGGCGCGGUAGAGGAGCAUUCUCUAGACAGUGAAGGGUGAUGGUGACUGACCCUGGAGUGUAGAGAAGUGAGAAUGCAGACAUGAGUAACGAUAAGGCCGGUGAAAUCCCGGCCCGCCGUAAAUCCAAGGUUUCCCGGGCAACGUUUUUCGUCCCGGGGUUAGUCGGGACCUAACCCGAGGCCGAAGGGCGUAGGGGAUGGUAAUCAGGUUAAUAUUCCUGAACCCAGUUAGGAGGACGCAUGAUCAAAAGCUACUAGGUUAUUGAAUUCCGAGAUGCGGCUACGGCCAAUUCGCAUAGCUAGAGAGAGUGCCAAGAAAAGUCCUAACAUUAAUGGCCCGUACCGUAAACCGACACAGGUGGAUGGGUAGAAUAUACCAAGGCGCAAGAGUGAAACCUAGUCAAGGAACUCGGCAAAAUAGCCCCGUAACUUCGGAAGAAGGGGUGCCUAUUUUAUAAUAGGCCGCAGUGAAAUGGCCCAACCGACUGUUUAGCAAAAACACAGCAUUGUGCAAAGACGUAAGUCGAAGUAUACGAUGUGACACGUGACCAAUGCCAAAAGAUUACGGUAAGGUGUUAGCUUUUAUUAGCAAAGCUCCGAGCCCAAGUCCUGGUGAAUGUCGGCCGUAACUAUAACGGUCCUAAGGUAGCGAAAUUCCUUGUCGGGUAAGUUCCGACCUGCACGAAUCGUGCAACGAGUUGGGCGCUGUCUCGACUAGAUGCUCAGUGAAAUUGUAGCGCCGGUGAAGAUGCCGGCUACCCGCAGAAAGACGGAAAGACCCUAUAGACCUUAACUGUAAGCUGUUACUGGUUAUUCGAUUUUAAUGCUCAGCAUAAGUGGGAGACGUUGAAGCGUGCGUUUAGGCGCAUGUGGAGUCAUCAGUGAGAUACCACCCUUUAACAUUGGAUGAUCUAACCC